UACGUAGGGUGCAAGCGUUUGUCCGGAAUUAUUGGGCGUAAAGAGCUCGUAGGCGGUCUGUCGCGUCGGCUGUGAAAACCUGGGGCUCAACUCCGGGCCUGCAGCCGAUACGGGCAGACUAGAAUUCGGUAGGGGAGACUGGAAUUCCUGGUGUAGCGGUGAAAUGCGUAGAUCUCGAGAGGAACGCGUCGCUGCGAAGCGAAGCUCUGGCCAAAUUCUGACGCUGAGGCACGAAGGCUAGGGGAGCGAACGGG
rnacentral:rRNA from 1 species